rnacentral:rRNA from 1 species
UACAGAGACUGCAAGCGUUAUUCGGAUUCACUGGGCGUAAAGGGUUCGCAGGCGGCCAAGUGUGUUAGGCGUGAAAGCCCGGGGCUUAACCCCGGAAUUGCACCUAAAACUACAUGGCUAGAGCAUUGGAGAGGGUAGCAGAAUUCACGGUGUAGCAGUGAAAUGCGUAGAUAUCGUGAGGAAUACCAGAGGCGAAGGCGGCUACCUGGACAAUUGCUGACGCUCAGGCACGAAAGCGUGGGGAGCAAAAGGG